CUGGUUAGCGUCCCGCGUCGUACCUUGGUAUCUUCUUCAAAGUUCUCGCUCCCUUUUCCUCCCAUUUGAUUUUCAGAGGUUAGGAAGCCAGAGGGUCUGCUUUACUGCGGACAACACAAUACUGUGAUGUGCCAGGAUUUGCAGAUGCGUGCUCCACGGUACACCUGGCCAGGCUUCCUCAGCCUCAAUCUCCGUCCUGUCCCAACACCUAAGAGGCAAGAGGUGAGAACAGGGAAAAAAUGGAUAAAGUAUAAGCCACCAGCCUUUUGAAUACAAGCUGUAUGACGAAGAUAGCAGAACUGAACAGACGAAGUGUGGGCUUUGUGGAACUGCCAUACCUGCUGUGGACUGCCAACUCCAGAUAUUGCAUGCCUAAGCAGUGACUGUUUUGGGUUGUAUAUGCAGAGAAACCUAAUCACAAUACAUGGAGCUCUACUUCACACUUGCCCUUUGGUUUUUGCCUCCCAUUUCAAUGAAAGCUUAUCUUCCUUUGUCUAC